rnacentral:rRNA from 1 species
GUAGGUGACAAGCGUUGUCCGGAUUUACUGGGCGUAAAGAGCGCGCAGGCGGUCGAUCAAGUCGAGUGUGAAAGCCCCCGGCUCAACUGGGGAGGGUCAUUCGAUACUGAUCGACUCGAAGGCAGGAGAGGGAAGUGGAAUUCCCGGUGUAGUGGUGAAAUGCGUAGAUAUCGGGAGGAACACCAGUGGCGAAGGCGACUUCCUGGCCUGUUCUUGACGCUGAGGCGCGAAGGCUAGGGGAGCAAACGGGAUUAGAUACCCCGGUAGUCCUAGCCGUAAACGAUGGACACUAGGUGUUGGUGGUAUCAACCCCGCCAGUGCCGUAGCUAACGCAUUAAGUGUCCCGCCUGGGGAGUACGGCCGCAAGGCUA